rnacentral:rRNA from 1 species
GACGAACGCUGGCGGCGUGCCUAACACAUGCAAGUCAAGGAGAAUUCCCGACUUGUCGGGAUAGUAAACUGGCGAACGGGUGAGUAACACGUAGGUAAUCUACCCUCGGGAUCGGGAUAACCUCGCGAAAGUGGGGAUAAUACCGAAUAAAGUCUCGGUAUAAUUUGUCGAGAUGAAAGAUGGGGAUCUUCGGACCUAUUACCUGAGGAUGAGCCUGCGCCUGAUUAGCUAGUGGUAGGUAAUGCUACCAGGCACGAUCAGUAGCUGGUCUGAGAGGAUGAUCAGCCACAUUGGGACUGAGACACGGCCCAGACUCCUACGGGAGGCAGCAGUGGGGGAUAUUGCGCAAUGGGGGAAACCCUGACGCAGCGACGCCGCGUGAGCGAAGAAGGCCUCGGGUUGUAAAGCUCUGUUCUAAGGGUACGAAGGACUUGGCUGUGAAUAAUGGUCAAGGGUGACGGUACCUUAGGAGAAAGCCCCGGCUAACCUACGUAGCCAGCAGCC